AUUAUCAAGUUAAUGUUUGGUUAGUUCCAAUCUGCUGAAUUCAAAUGAUCAACUUACUAUUGAUUUUGGCACUCAUAUAUUUUUAUUCUGGCUGCCAUGCAACACCGCAGCUUUCUAUAACCUGGUACUGAAAUUUUGAGUUUCAAGUCUUAUCUGCUGCGGAUUUGGGGAGUUGAUUUCUAAAAUAUCUGGUGAAUAUUAGAAAGUAGUUUAUUGUAAUGAACAUAAAGUGUUGCAUUUGAAUAGAUGUAUAUGAAGUGUUAGAAUAGUAUUUGUUUUAGUUUAAAAGAGAGCAUUGGAGAAUGUAUCUACAAAUCUAUUUUGAAUUGAGAUUGAAGUAUAAUUUUUCUUCCCUCUCCUUUCAUUCUAAAUUUUAGAAAAUCCACAUCCAUUAUUAUAUAAAUUAUUUUUCAUAUAUAUGAAAGAGCAUAUGCAAAUAGUUCGCAGUUCUUUGGCUCAAUCUUCAAUUUUUACUGUGUAUCUGUAAGUGAGAUAGAUAUAGAAAAUCUUGUCAAGAUUUGAUGAAGUGGGCUGGUUCCUAAUCAAAUAAUAAAAUUAGCUCCUUAAAAUCCAUAGGAACUUGUUGUAUAAUUAGAACCUGUGUAACAGAUCAGGAUCCCUGUUAUUGAAAGCCCAGUUAUUGUCAGUAUUAGGUUAGGGGAAUCUCAGAGCUAUUGACACUAGGAAGUUAAAAAAAAAAAGCAGUGGCGAACCAUUUCUGCAACCUGCUAAGGGAACCAUAUAGAGGUUUUCUAUUAGAAUCACUUUUAUACAGAACCAUUGAGCUGAUGAGGACCGUCAGACUAUUAUCUAACUCCCUGUUGAGUGUAGAAAUCCAAAUUAAAGCAUUUCUGUCUAACAGACAGCUGUGUAUCCUCCAGCUUCACUGAAUGACAAGGAGAAAACUAGCUCUGAAAGUAAAUUUUUCCCCUAACAAAAUAUUGUUAAUUUUUUUAUAAUGUUCAGUCAGAAUUGUUUUUCUAUCAUUUUAACCUAACAAGCAACUUGAUUAAAAUAUGACAAAUUUAAUCUAGCAAGAUUUAUUUUUAACAAAUAUAUGCUGAAAAUAGUAUCUUCAUUGUUUUCAAGGUGCUUACAGAUUGCUGUCUUUAUUUUCAUCUUUAGGUCUUCCCAACCACAUAUCAAUUUUAGAUUGGUCUGUAAUUUCUUGAGUCCAUCUAUUGAACAAAUAUAUGAAUUUUGACUUUCUCCAGUCACCUAGCAUAUCACAAGGUCUCAAGGAUUUUUUCAGAGAUAAUUCAUAAAUGUUUGGUCAGACCAUUAGCAACUUACCAUGUAGUUCAUAAAGCCCUAGAUAUCUAAACUAUUCGUGAGAAAUUGCAAUUUCCUGACCUUGCUUUUGUCAAUCUUGAGCUUCAUUCCUUCCUGUUCAAUAUGCUCAUGACUGGCAAAAUAUCUGCUUCUUGUUAAGAGAUGAUAUGGUCAAAAGAGGACUUGGAUAGUUAUGUUCGCAUUUUGCUUUUGUUCCUUUAAAUAUACUUUAAGAAAACCUGUUCAUUUUUCUAAUACUCUGCUAAUUUCAGCUCAUUCUGAACUUUCGAUUUUGUGCCACCAUUCUUACAGUUUUGGGUGUCUCACUGUACUCUCACCUUGGUAAUCUCUCUUUACAAGUUUUUGUUUAUUUGUUUUUCAGAACUCAAGUGUUUCUGGAUCUGGGCCAUACUGAUUCAAUAUUUUAAUACCUUUCUUUAGCUAUACUGUUUCGAAUCUCUUGUUCUUCAUUAUAUACGAAGAAAUAUACCCAAAGUGAACUGGCAUCUGAAGGUAAUGGAACACAGGCCUUCCAUUGGGCCUCAGCCCGUUACGUACAAUCAUACAAUGCAGUGCAAUUAAUUCUUCACACAAACUUGAAAUGCGUACAAUAACCUUAUUUAAUUUGUGCUAUGUCUCACACACUCCUAAGCUAGCUGUGAAUUUAGAGAACUAAAAUCCCAACAUUAACCUAAUCAUGUUAGUGAUUAUCUGAAUUUGGUUCUGAUUUUGAAGGUAUCUGCUUUCACUGAAGUGGGGGAGAGGGUGCAGAACCAAAUUCAGAUAAUCACUAACAUGAUUAAGUUAAUGUUGAGAUUUUAGUUAAUUAGUUAGUUAGUUAACAUGAUUAAGUUAAUGUUGAGAUUUUAGUUAGUUAGUUAGUUAGUUAAUUAUUUAUGAAAUGUUUUAAUACUAUAAUACUGAUUUCUGACAACUGGGUAUCAACAGUUUCUAAGCUUUUUAAGGGAGGAAAAGACACCGGACGACUUCUUGAAUCAAUCCAGAAGAACUUAAAUUUCUUCAUAUGCUCCUCAUAUAUUUUGUAGCAUAUUUCAGUUGAGAAAUUUCAAAGUACUGAAAUUGGAGAACCAAUCACUAAUUUUUCCUUCCAGACAACCUUUAUUUGGAAUAUAUAAUCCAACCAGUGUUUCAGUGUUUUAGUGUUUUGAUUUAUUGAUUAAUUGAAUUGGGAUGAUGUAAGUAUUUAUUAUAUGCUGUCUCCCCCGCUGUCAGGAACAAGUAGUAAUCUUCACCCCAAAGCAGCUAAACUGGGCAGUUGCUUUAUUACAUAUUAGUUUUGAAAACAUUAUGAAAUCAGCAUAAAUUGACUCAUUAGUAAAAGAAACACAGGUAGUCCUCAACUUACAAACAUUUGUUUGGUGACUGUUUAGAGUCACUGAAAAAGUGACUUAUAAUAGUUUUCACACUUAAUGACCAUUGAACAUUCCCAUGGGCAUAUGAUCGAAAUUUGGAUGCUUGACAACUGGCAUGUAUUUAUGACAGUUGCAGUAUUCCAGGGUCAUGUGAUCACCUUUUGCAACCUUCUGACAAGCAAAGUGAAUAGGGGGCCCAGAUUUACUUAACCAUUUUAUUAACUUAACUAACAGCAAUUCACUGAACAACUGAGGCAAGAAAGACUGUAAAAUGGGGCAAACUUCACUUAACAACUGUCUUGCAUAGCAAUGGAAAUUUGAGGCUCAAUUGUGUUUGUAAGUUGAGAACCACCUGUAGUCAAAAGAAGGCAGGGGCAUUGUCCAUUUAUUAAUGUACAGCACUAAUACAUCACGAACAAUAUCCAUCCAAUUUAUAAAAUUAGUGUCCAUUUUUCGGUUACCAUAUCCUCUAUUCAAACUGUGAUGCUAUAUUCAGAACUUUAUCUCUCCUUGCCAGGCUUGAAAUUAAUUAAACUAUUCCAUAAUGGAAACAGAAAUAAGCCCUUUUAUUUUAUGAAUGUAACAAAAGCCUACUUUUUAACCCUAAGAAACAUCUAGGUUUUUUUUCCCUUCAAACUUACUUUCUCUUUUCUUUUUUGAAAAGUUUUUUAUUUUUAAUCUCUUACAUUCAUUUACAGGUAUACAUUCACAUAGUUAUUAUUUUUGUUAUAUUUUAUCACUUUUAUACAUUUACAUGUAUGACUACAUGUAUGAUUACAUUGUAUUUCAUAUAAGGAGUUAAAAUAUAUAUCCGGGAUUGCUUUGCUUAUCAUCUCAUACACCUAUUUUAUGUUACCACAACUCUACUUUUCCUUCCUUUUUCUUUUUCUGACUCAGUUUAGUGAUCAGGCAAAAUAAUGCUUGAAAAAGGGGGAAUGUCAACAAAAGAGAAAGGAAUAAAAUCCAAUUGCUGUUGAUAAAAUACAUUCUUCAUUAGAUCAAUUAGCUUUUUUAACAGUAAUAAAAAUAUAAAUAGCAACAAGACAAAGCUUGAAAGAAAAAUCAUUAAGUCACUUAAAGCAUAUACAAUAAAAUAAUUUAAUUUUUCAGAUAUGUGUAUAAACUCAUCUAUAUAAUUAGAAAAGAGUUUCAUCUUUGGAUACAUUUUGGUAUUAUAAAAAACAAAAAUCAGGAAUUCCAAAUUAAAAAUAAAGGAUCAGAAUUCAUACAUGCACUUACUCCCACAAACUCCCACAAACAGAAUGGAUGAAAUAAAUUCAUAAUAACUUUAAAAGAAAUGUGGGGGGGGGGGAGUAACAUCUCUGAAAUCCUUAGUUUUUGAAGUGGGGGAAAUCAGUUACAAACAUUUUCUGUAAAAUAAAGGAGCAUUUAAAUGCUCAUCUUUAUUAGUAAAAAAAAAAAACCUCAUGUUAAUAAUUUUAAAAAUCUCAUAGAAGUGAGCACUAUGAACAUAAAGUAUUUAAACAUUUCAGACAUUUAUAUGCAUGUGAACUAUAAUCAAACUCACUACUAAGCUCUGUAGAUGUAAUAGAGUUCCCACUUCCUCAUCAGUUUCUUAUUCUAUCUUCUUGGUAUCUUGUGCCAACUGUUCAAAGUUACAACAUAAACCCCUCCCCAAAGUACUUACAACACAGUCCCAAUGUUAUGAAUCUUGCAUUACCACAGCAGUCGCUCACCCUUACAAAUGACUGUAGAGGCACUGCAAUAUUUGCCCUGUCUAUUCCUCCUGCCCCAGCCAGGUCUCCAUAGGCACUGGGCCUGUGAAGAUCUAGCAAACCUUCGGUUUCUUUGCCUCUUCAUUUCCUCAGGCCUUCAGUGCAUUCACAGAAAACUGAGGCCUAAAAUCGUGCGAGAAAACACAAGAUCAGGAGCACGAGAUCUAAUGCUAGUGAUCUUGCACUACUUUAAGCCUCUGUUCUCUGCGAAUUGCAGCCUGGAGGAGAUCUGCGGCCAAAGGCUUUCCAAACAAAUACUUCAGUUCUUCAGGCUUUCCCUCCGUUUGCCCUUUUCUUGCCAAAGCCUGCAGGGGCAAGAGAUUGUAUCCCCAUAGACUCGGGUUGUCUUCUUUGCCAGCAAGAAAGGAGCCCAGAAAAGGCUGGUGCAUCCAUCCUGGGCUCCGUUCUUCCCGGCAAAGGUUAUUCGCAAAGACGAUCAGCCUAGGAGGACACAAUGUCCCUCUAGUCUCCGGCAAGACUUUGAUCAAAGUGAAACCAUUGCAGAGAGGCUGGAGAGGAGACAGCUCAUUGAGAUCUUUAAAAGGUAAGUGGACUCAGUUCGGCAGGAUUGGGGCUGGGAACAUGAGAUGUCUCUGGGUUGGGUGGUUGAAAACACUAGGCCCUCCAUGCACUGGGUGAAGGCAGAGAGUUUCACAUUUAUUCAAUGUGAUUCACUCCAACAAAUCCUUGGGUUAUGAAUGUAAUUGGCAGACUCUCUUACAUUCAUAAUUCAACGAUUGCCUAUAUUUUUCCAGUUCCAUUAAAGGGGCUUCCAAUUUGGCAUUAUUCCCUUAGCACUUUUAGUCUUUAAAAGCAUCUAGAUGCAGUCUGGGUGAAAAUCUCAACUACUAUCAUAGGAAAAAACAAAUAUAAAUUCUUUAUGCAUGUUAAUUUUCUGUUUUUUUUAAAAUGUAAUCUAGCUUGUUAUUAAAAAAAAAAAAGCAAAGAUAAUAAAAUUAUCCUAUUGUUCUUUGACUGUUACCAAGUUACCAAGACUAACUAGAAAAUAUGUAUAAACAUAAACAGAUUUAGUAUUUCUGAAUAAACAUAUUACUGGAGUUUGAUUUUGCAAAAGCCUCUUCUCCUGCCCAUUACUAAAUUCUAUAGAAGUGUUGAGUAAUUUACAGCAGAGAGAGCAAAUUGGAGAAAUUUCUGAGAAGAAAAUGUAUCUCUUUUCUGCUAAAUCUGCAUUUACUAGAAAUGUAAGAGGCUAGUCUCAGAUCUAUGAAAUAUGUCUUUAAAAAAUGCAACCAACUUUUGGGGAUUGGAUGAAAAUCUGAUCCUAGGGCUGAAAUUCAUAGGUAGGAUUAAUCAGAUUGAUGUAAAUACAUGAUAAUUAUGAUCAGAGUAUUUCUAAAUCAAUUAAGAUAAUAAUAACAACAAAUCCCUAAAAUCAGAAGGACCUAAAAUGCAAAGGAGAAGAAAACAUUUGAAAUAAUUGAAUACAUUUGAGCUUCCACUAGUGAUUAGAAUGUUGUCUUAUUCUAAGAUAGACUAACAUAUCUAAGUUUCCCAAGAUUUUAGAUAGCUAGUUUCCCCCCACCCCAAAACCCAAAUCUUAAUCUUUUUAGAAUCCAUAAUCACCAUUGUAAUACACUUUGCAUUCUGGGAAUAAUUGGGGAAAUGGGAAAGCUUUGGUUCCCAUCCAUCCUUAUAACACCUCCUUUUUAUUCUUACUUGUAAGAGCGUAAGAAUGAGUUAAGAUAAUUCUUCACUUACAACCAUUGGUUUAAUGAUUGUUCAAAGUUACAAGAGCACUGAAAAAGUGACUUAUGACUGUUUUCCACACUUAUGACUUUGCAGCAUCCCCAUGAUUGUGUGAUCAAAAUUUGGAUGCUUUGCAACUGGUAUAUAUGCAGAAUUGAAUGGAAACUUCUUAUGUGAAGUAUAAUUUCUCUUAUUUUAAAGCUAUCAACUAUCUUGCCUCAUUUAAUCUCUAAUCCUGGUUGCACCAACCUGGAAUCGUUUAUGUAGGUGUUUGUUUCUUUAUAUGUAUAUUUUGUUUGGCAAGUGUUUUUCCUUUAUCCUCAAGCUGUUAAAAAGAAUCUUAUUAUUAUUAAAACAUAGAAUUGGGAAGGGCAUCUAAAGCAUCCAAGCCAACCUUCUGUUCCAUAAAGGAAUUCAAAUUAAAGCAUUCACAACAGCUGUCCAAUUUUUGUUUGAAUAUGUUCGGUAAAAGAGAAAUCACUAUUUAGAACAGGAUACCUACCCAUGAAUCAGCACCGGUACACAGCAUGUCAACAACCUGUCCAUGCAAACAAUUGAAGCCCCAACCAGGCAGCAUGCAAAACCACCACCCCACCAAUCCACGGAAACCCGGUCCCUGGUGCCCAAAAAAUUGGAAGCUGCUGAUUUAGAAGAUAAGAUAACAGAAGAAAAGAUAGAAAAGGAAAAAUAAGAAAAUGCUGAAUUCUUCCAAGCCAGAAUGAAAUGCUUUACUUACAUACAUUCACAUGCAGAUUAAGCAAAUACAAUUGAACACUCUUGCUAUUUUUGCCUGAAUUACUCCUGGUUCUAUCGGUGAUGGAUGACCUAGAGUGUGCUACCUGUUAAGUCCUGAAAGACUGCAAUAGAAGCUGAUUCAUCUUACAGAAGAGAAGAGCACAGCAAAUUCUACUUAGUCCGUAGCUAAUGUUAAGAGCUAUGUAAUGUACCUGGAACAAAACUUGGAAUAUGUUUGUUGGCUUUGUCUUCAAUGGAUUGUUAUUUCUGCUCUGUUUGUAUAUAUAGCAUUAAAAUAGUUUCUAUAGCUAUACAAUGUAUAUAGAUUGGCUUUGUACAUUUUAGAAAAUUCUCUAUCUUUGUAUAUAUCAGAAGAGAGUGGACAUUUCCAGGCCUCCUAUUGUUCAAAGAUUACAAGGCAGGAGAGUUAAGGAGGUGUAACCAUCAAGUGCGAAACAAAGCAAGGCUAUAAUUAUAAGGCAACUCUCAGAAUAAUGAAAGACAAAGCAACUGUUGGAAUUCAAUGUUCCUUUUGAGACCCUUCAAGAUAGAAUCCAUUAUCUCUCUGAAAUCUCCCUAGACUCAACUCCUUAAUAUAUUUUCAGUUUUUCAGUAUAGUAUAUUUAGGUGCUUAGACCUUAUUAGUAUUUUUAUUUUUAGGUUUAUUUCUCACUGGUAUGACAUAAAUUCCACUUUUCAAUCCUUCUGCGAUUUUUAUAAAGUGCUACUAAAUUCCAAAUAUGGGCUGCAUCCUGAAAAUAAAUACAUUACUGCAUAGCAAAAACAGAGGUAGGAAUAUAACCAGAAGCAAUAUCUAAAUUUCAUCUCCAACUCAUAAAAAAAAAUUCUCCAGAAUAGUGAAAGUCUUUCCUCUUAGCUACUGGUACUAUAGCAAAGAUGGAAAGGAAAUUGGAUUUCUGUUUUUUUCCUUAAAACUUACAUUCCUAUCAUGUCAUUCAAUAGCAUAAUCUAAAUUAUGGCAAACUAAUCAACUCAAUUAACCCUGAAGAAUAUCCCCAAUAGCAAAGAACUUUUGGAACUGUAGUCCAGAACUUCUGGAAAGCAUUUGCUUUCAGUAAGAAGGAGAAUCAUGGAACGGAAAGAUUGAUGGAAUAUUUUGGGCACUGUGUUGGCUGGAUGGACGAAGGCAGAAUUACUUAUUGUUAUGGUAAGAAGAAUACUUUUUAGGAAUGACAAACAUAGAACAAUUAUUUGCAGCACAUAGCCUGGGGCAAGCUUCAGGGAACAUAAAUGCAUCUGCCUAUUGUUUCAAACCAACAGCUAUGUUUCCAACCCAUCCCUACUUAAAUACAAAUGAUUGAAUCCAGGUUUAGGCAUAUUUAUGAUGAAUUUCUUGCAGCUACUGUAUACUCUGGUAGAUAACCAGCAGAAUAAGUUAACUAACUUGCUCCAUUGAUUAUAAAAACACUAUUUUAGGAUGAUGAGAAGCAGUUAUCUUAAUAAACAUUUGUAAAAUACUAGCCUUGGCAGCGAUGUUUCAAAACAUUGUCAGAGCAAUUUUUAAACAUUUUCCAGAAGAAAUUUCUUUUUCUAUCAGCCAAAUGCCUGUCCAUCCCCACCUGCUGUGGACUUGAGUUAACAAGUUGAAAAGUAACCACGGGACACUUGCAGCCUGUUUCCUCUAGUUGCCACAGCAGCAAAAUGUUAGAAAAGGUCAUUCUCCCUUUGAUCUGUAUAAGCCUAGAUGAUUGUGUUGGCAGCAUUUCUUUCUAUUAUUGUAAAAAACCAAAGAGAUUUAUUGUAAUUUAAAGAUAAACACGUUUACUUUACAGCAUUUCGAGGCUCCAGUUCACUUUGUAAUAUGUUAUGCUGAAGAAGACAAUGUGGGAGAGGGAACUUUUAAGAAGGUUAUACAAAGUACAAGUUGAUUGCUUUGAAUUUGUUUAAUAAUUUUAAUGCUGUUUUGUCUGAUAGAGACAAAUUUUGCUCUUCUGAGGUUAAAUACCUAAUGACCUACAGAAUUUCUGUUGAUCACCACAAGAAAACACUAUUAUGUUUUUUGUUGAUCUUCUAGAAUAUUCAUUAAGAACUAAGACAGAAUCAGUGCAAGAUAUUAACAACAAAAAGUUUACCCUAAAUAUUAAUGCAAAUCAUCAAAGACCUAUGAAUAAGUUAGUUUUGAAGUAUUCAGUGCCCAAAACCUUGCUAGCUGAUCAAUAUGGGGUUUACAAUGAAAGGCACCAACAAAACAGACCCCAAUGUAGCACCUAGCUGUGCUGAUACUUUUAAUUAUGUGGUAUUUCCUUUCUUUCAACAUUCUUAACAUAACAAAGUUUAGCCAUUCACAUGCUCAAUGCUAUUAACAACUUGUUAAUAGGCCAGAGUGGCAGCUUGUUGAUUUACACCAGCUGGCAUAAUUUUCUCUCCAUUCUUUUAACUUCCAAAUAAUUUCUCCUUUCCAAACACAGUAGUAGAGCCUAUUUCAGAGUGAGUGAAACCAGAGCAGAGCCUUGGUUUUUCCUACAAAUCCUCUGUCAUUUCCCCACCAGUGAUUGAUCAAUGCUCUAAAGGACCCCAGUGACUAAACAUGAGUCCAAUUGUUUUAAGAAAAAGUUUGGAAUUUAGAAUGCCAAUAGUUAAACUCCAAUUUGGUUCUGGAUUAGAAUUCAUGGGCUCCCUUUUCUAGGCUGCUGCCUUAACCAUUACUCUAAUCAGGCUCUCUUACAUAGUUUAAUUAUAUUUUGAUGCAUUUUCUCAAUUUUUUCCAGAGUAAAAUUAUAGAUGACAGAUACAGUAUAUCACUGUGUAUGUUUUUAAAUUAUUUUUCCAGAGCAGAAGUGAGUAAUUUGCAGCUCUAGACCACAUGCAACUCAUUGACUUUAAUUUGAAACCUUUUCUUCAAAAAAAAUUGGUACAGGCAAUUGACAAGUAUAUGCGAACUUACAUCAGGAGAGUAGGAGGGAGAGAAAAAAGAAUUCUGCUUUCCCUAGGAGUUGCCAAGGUUCAGACUUGUUUUUCCCAUUUGGAAGCUACUGGAACCACGUUGAAGCCAGCAGUGUGUAAUGUGACGGCCAGAGAAUGUCGAGCUCUAGAGACACCAGAUCUUUUUGUGUGAUAUGGUUUUGUGCCAGCAUUGCUAAUAUCAUUUCACUUAUUCUGUACACUUCUGUAAAGGAUACAUAUAUAUUCAAUGAGAUGAAAAGAUUCAAACAUGAAUUGAUAACGUUCAAAUAUUUAAUGCCAGUAUAUAAAUUAAAUGCUUUUUCCUGCAAAGUGGAUUUGGUAACUUCUUUCUGUUGUUCUUGGGUCACUGAGAUGAAAACAAGAAAAAAUAAAUGCAGGCAGAAAGACUCUGUAGUAGUAUUAGCCUUUUCUUUCUAUUUGUCAUAACCCUAGUAUGAUGGAAUAUAUCUAGUGCACCUUGAUAGCAAGAGUUUGGGGAAACCUGAGCAGUGACAUACAGUGUAGAAUUAUAGAUGGCAAAAAAUGGAUUAGUCUCUAGGUGCUGCAACUCUUUGUAUGAUAAAAAUAAAAUGGAUUUGUUGUGAUGUCAUAUCAUAGACUGUACAUCUUGCCCUCUAAAAAUUUCCAGGCAAGAGUUGUGCUUGAAAAUAGUAAAUGAUUAAUGGAAAGAAAACACGGUCAUUGCACUUGGAACUGUCUGUUAUGAAUGAGACUAAAGAAGAGAGAACACACUUUUAUUAUUCAUGGGCAAAUUGCUGAGGCAACUUGAUAAUAUAAAGAUACAUGAACUUGGAAGCUCUGUUUAUCUUAUAUCAUAACCUUUACUGUCUUGUGCCAAUUUCUCUGCAAAUAGAAGUCUGCUAAAAGAAGAUAAAAACCAUAAUCCCACAGUGACAUAGAGAUCUUUGCUGGGAUCUUAACAUGUUCAAAAUACAUAAUCAUGACAGAAACAAUUGCUGACAGUGCUUUCUCACUCUUAGUCCACAGCAGAAGUCCUCAGAACUAUAAAACAUUUUGAAAUAGACUGAGAUUCAUUCCUAUGGCCAAUUCAAGCAGUUAUUUUCACAUAUGGACCAGUGUGUACUAUCACAUUUCCAGUGGCUUGAGACAACCAUUAUUAUUUGCCUCAUUGAACAUCUGCUGAAGCAAAUCCUCUCUACCUACCCAUUGAUGAGUGGCAAAGCUUGGGUUGCUGAAUGGAAUUUCUCAUUCCAAAUUCUGCAAAGUUUAAAUGAUUGGUUUCACCUGCCAGAAGACUGGUCCUAAUGCUGCUUCUA